rnacentral:pre_miRNA from 1 species
AUGUACAUACAUGUAUGUACAUGCAUGUAUGUACAUGCAUGUAUGUACAUGCAUGUAUGUACAUGCAUGUAUGUA